UCCAAACAACUAAUCCCUUGUCCUCGCCAUGGCAACGCACGGUCAACGGGAAGGUUCAGAGGUCAGCAGGUGACCUCCGUUUGUCCCAUCUGGGCUGAUGUGGCGACAGAAGAUGCUGACAUUGUGGAAUUAAGAGGAGGAAUUCGGCUCUCCCGUUUCGGGGCGACGUCGCGUUGCUCGCCGUCGUUUUACAAAAUGCUUAUUUGAGAGAUAAAUUGGUUAAAAAAGUGAAUGGGGAAAAAAAGAGGAUUGGGAGACAAGGCCCCUCUUGCAAAGGGAGCGACAGAUUGAGUGCUUUAAACAUGGCCGAGUCGACUAUAUGGACAAGUAGAAGUAGAUAUCGCCAUUGUGCAUUUGAAUCUGUGUGUCAAGUUCCGGGUAGUACUCGGUUUAAGACGGUCUCGGUCUAAGUCCUUUCGACUUCACACCCCUGUCCUGUCCGCCAUGUUGGCCCCCGGCACCGUCGUGCUUACGCUUAGCUAAUGCAUAUUGCUUAUCUGUGUUUGUGCACCUUUUUGCACAUUACGGCCCAAAAGAAAAAGCUGUUUUUUUUUUUUUGUUUUUUUUGUUUUUUUUUAGCAAUGCUUCUACAGCUGAAGAAAAGCAAUGACCGUGGAAACGUCAUCAUUAUUUAAAAAAAAAAAAGAAAAGAAAAAAACUGAGAAAUGAUUAAGAUCGACAGACAUGAAAGACAUUAAGAAUUGGGCGAUUAAUAUUAAAGGGGAAAUUCAGUGCUUUGCAUGAACAAUGUAUCCAAUAGGUCAUGUAAUAUGUACCCUAUUUUGACAAUAUGAUGUUAAAUACUCUUUAAUUUUAAUCGUGAUUUUUAUCGACAAUUGCGAAUUUUUCGCGACAUACGUGCGCGGAUGUGACGUGUAAGGCGCCGCACCAAAAAGAUCGAUUACAUUAUGCCCAGCGAUGAUUUCUCGGAUUUAUCCUCGUCUGAUGAAGAAAUAGCGGUAUCGGUUGAUCGGGAAGCUCCCGGGGGCCUUUGUUUACGUACUUACGUCCCGCGUGUAGGCCUCCGAGUGGUCAGACUCCGGCGUCAUUCCAUCCGAAGAACCAUCUGAAUAUUCAACAUUAUUUACAGACGCAGGUUCGAAUAUUUAUGGAAGUAUUCCUCCGUCUUCACCGCAAUGAGGGAUCCAGUGAUCACGGAACAACUUUUUCUUAUGGAGAAAACAAACAAAAAAAAAAGAAGCAACGUUCUUCGAUCGUUGCCGAGAUGGAAAGAUUACUGACGAUAUGGAUCAAGGAUCCAAAUCAACGUAGGGUUAAUAUCAGCCUCGUGUUCACUUAGGGAAAAGGCAUGCCGCAUUUUCUAAACAUUGAAAGAGCGGAAAGUAGAAAAUGCCGAGGAGGAAUUUACCGCUAGCAACGGCUAGCAAGUGCGCUUGCUUUCUUAGCGAGAGUUUAGAGCGGAUUCGCGUCGUUCUUUUUCAUCCACUUCUCGCAGUAAUGGUAAGUGACACAUCUUAUAUUUUUUAUUUUCAUGUAUUUUAGUUUUUUUCCCAUCCAUUUCUGAGCGGGAAUGCUGAAGCCAAUCCCAGCGGUCAUCGUAAAUUUUCACUUUAACGGGGAAAUCCGACUCCAAUCGAAAUUCGAGUUAAGUCGCUACUGUGGGAACGGAUCUCUUGUCGUAGACCGAGGACUCCCUACACUGAUUUUAUAAUAACAGCUGCGCUAUUUCUACGACAUAAUUCACCCAAUCUGGAUAUGCCAUCAUAAUAAAGUAGAGUAAUGACCAAUGAGGAACAGUAAUAACUAUCGCGGCUCACACAUCUUUUUUUACUUAUUCCCUGCAUGUCCAAAUCAUAUCAACCACCAAUAAAAUUGACAAAAACAUUAAUUUUGUCGUCACAACUUUUCCACAAUUUCAAAGACAUCAGUCAGGAUAAGGCUAUAAAAUGAUUUCCAAGGCAUUAAAUACAGAAUGGGAGACAGCGAAGACAGUCAUCAUUAAGUGGGGAAAAUAUGGCCCAUUACCAACAAAUGGAAGUUUCUCCGAAAUUGGAGAACAAGACGAGAAAGAAAACGAUUCAGCGACAGCCACAAUGAAGUCGCUGCAAGAAUUUCUAGGUACAAGUGCUACCCGUUAAGUGCACGGGACAAGAAUCUCCCGUUUUCUUUUUUUUUUUUUUGGAUUUCUGGCCUGCGGGGUAGCAGCUGGAAUUUAUUUGGGGUAAACUGGAGGCAGAUGAAAUGCCGGCACUUGUGCGGUGACUCGCAUUGAACAUCAGUUUGCAUGUUAUUGGUUAAUUCUGAACACAGCCGCAUCCUCACUGUGUCACCACAUUAUGCCUCUUGUCGAAUUGAUUUUUUACUACCCCAAUCUAAAAUAUUUCUCUUUUUUUUCCCCCCAGCUCAGGUUAGAUUAAGUGCCUUAUUCUUUGUAUAUCAAAAUUGUCUUCACUUUUAGACGAUACAAGCGGCCGCAAUGAGUUUCCUCCGCAGGGUGUCCAGGCUCUCCCUUAGAGAACGGGUGAGAAGCUCAAAUCAUCCGGGAGGGGCUCAACGUCGAGCCGCUGCUCCUCCGGUGAAGUGGCUGGGGCAUCUGAUGCGUAUACCUGUCCCACCGGAAAGAGACCCUGGGCUCGACCCAGGACACGCUGGAGAGACUACGUCUCUCGGCUGGCCUGGGAACGCCUCGGUGUCCCUCCGGAAGAGCUGGAAGAAGUGGCCGGGGAAAGGGAAGUCUGGGUAUCCCUGCUGAAGCUACUUCCCCCCGCGACCCCACCCGGAGAAGCGGUAGAGAAUGGUCGGAUGGACAACUGUAUCGAGUCAACUGGGAAAUGUAAAAGAGGAGGGUCCUUCACCAUCAAUCACGAACGGGAAGAAGUACAGAAAAAAGAUGAUGACGUCCCAUCACUGUACACAGCCACCGCAGAGGAAAAGUCCGACCGGUUUGUUUGGGUUAGACGACGGAGGAAUGAAGGGAGGAAGACGGAGAAAUUUGGGGCGACGGGGAUAUGGGCGUGGGAAGGGGGGGGGGGAAUGCAGAGAGGUGGGGGCGUACAACUGUGGACAGUGAUGAAUUAUCAGGGCGGUAGGCCGGAAAGGUGAGAGAGUUGAGGAAAGUUUUUGUUUGAUUUAUCUGAGGAGGAAGAGCGAGGAGCGCAUUACAAAUGAAAAUGAAAUGAAAAAAAAAAGAAGUGGAUAUGAGUAGAGGAGGGAGGUCAGUCCGGCGUGAUUGGGGAGGGAAGCGACGGAACGGGGGAGAACAGAUGUGGGGAGAAGGGGGGGGGGGGGGAUGGGUGGUGGGUUGGGACCUCGGGCGCGGGGGGUGAGGGGGGGUACAUUCCAGAAGUGCAACCAACCUGGCGCUGCGCCGCUCCCCAGUGUAAACACCGAACGGCGAGGACGGACCGACGCUCGGUCGUGGAAUCACAAGACGAAGCCCUCAAAGUGGGGAGAAAUGCAAACAAGAUUGAAGGAGAAGCGGUUGACAUUUUGUCACUGGAAUUGAAAUGUCUUCUCGUGUCCAUCUUUUUUUUUUUUCUUCUGCUAUAAGACCUGCCUGCCCACCAAGAAUGUAAAUCGGUAUUUAAAAUAAAUAUUGCUCAUUGCAGUGUCUGAUGGAAAUACUAUUUCGUUUGCUGUGUUAUGUCUGCUUUGGAUGUGUCUGCUGUUUUUUUUUUUUUUUUUUAACAGGAAUGUUCUGUUGGUCAUCCACUGGUGCGAUUGCUCUAUCUAGUGGUCACAGACGAUAAUGCAGGUUGAAAAAAAAAAAAAAAAAAAAAAAGCAGUUCCCAAACCUUUUGAGGCAGAUGGCGACUUCGGGAGCGUAUGAAGAGCUACAUGACCUGAUUGCGGCAAACGUCAGACUCAGAGUUCAUGAUUGCACAUCAAAUAUUUCAGAUUUAUUUUUUUAUAUUACAUGAGGUUAUUUAAAAAAUAAAUCAUUAAGGGCAAAACUUGGGACUACAUUCUGGACUGAUCAUCAGUCAGGGUAGUUAUAAUUAAUACCUAAGACUAUGAGAUCAUCUGAGAGCAUUUGCAGAGUUAAGUAAAAAAGCAAGCUUUUAUUAAAUAUGGUGUGAAUAUAUAUAAAAGAGUAGCUUAACAUACAUGUUUGAUUACAACUGGAUACUUCAUCCUGCAGCUUUUUGCAAACAGA